CGUCCUCGUCGUACACCCGCUCCGCACGGGCCUACCUGGGCCGUACCAAUAUGGGCCGCCCUCCACCGCACGAGCAUCACCGCCCACAUCUUUGGGAACGUCUCCUGCCUCCUCCGCGACGCGCCGCCUGCAUCCUCCGCGACGCGCCGCCGUCGACGCCCCGGAGCGCGUCGUCCUCGAGUAAAACAGCGAGACAGCACGCGAGCCUUCUUCCGUUCCAAAGCUUCUACCAGAGCAACAUACGAGUGAGGAAGCGAGGUAGAAGGUUCUGUGGCGGAGAGAGAUGGCCGGGAAGGGAGGCAAGGGUCUGCUCGCGGCAAAGACGACGGCGGCCAAGGGAUCCGCCGACAAGGACAAGGACAAGAAGAAGGCGCCCGUGUCCCGCUCCUCUCGCGCCGGGAUCCAGGGUGCUGUCGAUGAAGGAAAAUAACCGAACAGAGCCUUCUCAAAAUAGGUUCAUAUAUAGAUGUGCGAUUUGUAAGCUUUCUGGUCGUCUUUGGCAGAUAAUGGCCCAGUUUUUCAUCCAUAACAAGGACUAAAAUAAGUAAAUGUUGACGCUGGUUAUUCGGAGCAGCAACAUGAUUAGCCUGGGGCAGCACCAUCAUUGGAAAACCACUAAUGUCCUCAUGGUUACUCCAUUCCGUGGUUUGACCCUUCCAGGUAUAUCUUAUUGAUUUAUUAGCAGUGCAUUAUAUGCUUCUGGCCAACUCAUUUCGCUCUUCAUUUUCUCUAGAAGCAUGAACAUGUCACUCCGCAUUCAGUAUAUUUUUGGCCACUGCGUUUUAAAUAAUUGGAAUUUUACAUGCUUAUACUACAAGAGAUAGAUCUACGUAAAUACUGUGUUUGCAUUAUGUUUUGCCAAAGACCUUCGAAUGUGAAUGUGUGCAUUAUGUUUCCUAACUUAUAUGGGAGGCAUGAACGGGAUCCGGGGAUGAUGCCUUGUUCACUGGUUGUUGGCAUGUAGUAGCCCUCUUUCCUGAUUUAAUCAUAUUGCAAUUUCCAUGUGGUGAAGCCCAACUGAAUACCGCUCCAUACAUGAAGAAGGGCCUCAUGAUGAGCUUUAGGAAGAUGGAGCAAUAACACAUGCUGAGUUGGAAAAAUAAGGGUAAUAAUGCAGUCCAUUUGAAGUUGUAAAAAGAUCAUCCAUAGUUGAAGAACAUGACAGAGAACAAAGGAGUCUAAUUUUGUGAACGAGGGAAAUCAAAAUGACAGGAUAUUUCUCUUCUCAUAGCUCUAGAUAUAUUGAAACUUGGGGAGGGGAGAACACACAUUCUCUCACUUUACAAUGCAAGCCUUUUACAUAUAGAAAAUGCUAGAAAGAACUUCUCAACGCAAAGCAAUCCUGGGGAAGGACAAAUUUUUUUAAUCUAACGUGUCUCUAAUCUGGCUGAUAACAUUUCAUGACAAAAGGGGUUAUAAGUAUAACAUUUUUUUCUAAAGCAUGCAGUCAGCAGGUAAAUAUUGUGCCGUUACAGAAUUGCCGAGCAAAUCUAGAUUUUUUUUUGAAGUGCUGCCAAAUGGCCUCCCUUGAAUAGCAAGACUAGGAUUUAUCUUUUUGGUGAAAUCAAUGUCAGAGAUUUGAGGAUUUGAGAAAUAAACAAUAUAUGGUUUUGUGCUUGCGGUGAUUUUGGCACUUGGAGUCACUUUGCAUGGCUGGAAUAGAAUCAGAUCUCAUAGUAUAACCAGACGAGUGUGCAUCACAUAUUAGAUAUAACCGCUGAAUAUUAAAUACCGCAGUGUGCAUCCGAUUCAAGGUGGUUUGCUUGGAACAUGGGUUUUAGGAUGAUCGUGAGCAACCUAGGAGCUGAAGAAGCCUUCAGUGGUAUCUCGUGAUAUAUUUCCGACCCUUCUAGCCGAGAUUAAGCGGUUUGUGCCAUCCCCCAAGCUGCACACAUUAUAGUGGACUUACAGUUGCUUCAAGGUAAAGUCUUGUUUGGGACGAGAUGAAUGCGGAGAAAUGGUUCGUGAGCGCUGCACUGCUGCACUAAUGUGAAGCGAGAUGAUGUACUAGGCAUGGUUUUUUUAUUUGGUUGGAAUUUCGUAGCUCUUAUUACAUCGCAGUUUGUCAUAGCAUUGCUCCUGAAUUAUUUGGAAAGUUCCAAGGAAAAAUAAGAAACAGAAAUAUAUGAUGUAAAUCUUAGUAAUAGAUAUACAUAGAUAUACAGAGUAUAUCUUUCAGAAUUGUGCAACCUUUUUGUUUGACGUUGUUUUAUUAAGGGAUGGCUAUAAACUGAUACAGAGUA